CCUACGGGGGGCAGCAGUAGGGAAUCUUUCACAAUGGGCGAAAGCCUGAUGGAGCAACGCCGCGUGCAGGAUGAAGGCCUUCGGGUUGUAAACUGCUUUUAUAAGCGAGAAAUAUGAUGGUAACUUAUGAAUAAGGAUCGGCUAACUACGGGCCAGCAGCCGCGGUCAUACGUAGGAUCCGAGAAUUAUCCGGGGUGACUGGGUGUAAAGAGUUGCGUAGGUGGCAUAAUAAGUAGCUAGUGAAAUCUGGUGGCUCAACCAUUCAGACUAUUAGCGAAACUGUUAAGCUCGAGACCGUUAGGGGUAACUGGAAUUUCUAGUGUAGGAGUGAAAUGCGUAGAUAUUAGAAGGAAAACCAAUAGCGUAGGCAGGUUGCUGGGACGGUUCUGACACUAAGGCACGAAAGCGUGGGGAGCAAACAGGAUUAGAUACCCGAGUAGUC
rnacentral:rRNA from 1 species